ensembl:lincRNA Gm53 predicted gene 53
AGAGUUCUCCAGAUCCUCCAAGCGCCGUCGGCGCCACCACUCCAGACACUGUUCACGAGGCCUCAAAGCGUGGAGGCGGUGGCCCGGGGCCGACUCUCGGGUGACCGCCAAUUUGGUCCCAAGACACUUCAGGAUCUCGCAACGGAUGGAGGACAGCGCGGUUCCAAGAGAGGGCGCCAAAGGCGACGCGCUGGCGGCCAGCUCCAAGCCAACCAGGCCCAUUGCGUCCGUCUGCAGGAACCUGUCCCUUCACCCUGCUUUGGACACUGAGCUUCGGAGGAUCUGGCUGCGAGCUGAUUCAACGCCAGGGCGCCGCCUAGAGGUCGGUCGCGUCCUCGGUCUCGCUCACCGACCACAGAGCUGCUUGUCCAAGCCACAGUGUCAGACUUAAACAAAACAAAACAAAAUUCCUGCUUGGAUCAGAGACUUGGCUUCUGGGACCGUUGACUUAUCAGAAACUUGCCUCCUCUCUGCUUCAUAACGAACCCCAGGAAGAGAGAGGGACCAGGGAUCUCAAAGAAAUAUUUGUCCUUGUGGCACCGACUAGGUGGAAGAAAAGUCUCAACAUGUCAGUUUCUUUUAAGGAUCUUAGAUUCUGUGUCUAGGUCUGCACUGGUUCGUCUCACUACCCAGAUUGCUCAGCCUAACCUCCUUCUCCAGUUCGUGCCAGGACGAUGCUUUAACUUCACGAAGAAAGGGGACAUGGAAAAGUUACCCUUUUCUCUUAAAGAUCCAUUACAAGAUUUCUAGAUAAUUUGGAGAUGGACAUGUUUUGGAAAAGAAUUUGGAAAACAUCUGUGUGUGUGUGUGUGUGUGUGUGUGUGUGUGUGUGUGUGUGUGUGUGUGCAGUGAUAGGAAAAAAUUGCCCACAUAGCCUUUACUUACUAAGUAAACUCCCACUGGUGUCCCAGCAAUAGUCAAGGGGGUACUUGGAGACACCAGUAGCCCUGCCCAGGGAAGUUUGUGCUGAGCCCUUGAAAGCUGAUUUUUGAGAUAAGGAUGACCUUGGAAGGCAUCCGACCAACAGGGUUGAGGUGUCCUUAAAGUCCAUGCAGGCUUCUUUUUGGAGACUGAGAUCAAAAGCCUGAGUUGUGGAGCUGCAGAGCCUCCAAGAAUGCGUGCUCCGAGAGUGUGUAUACACACAAGGUAUGCUGAGCUAAAGGUGUACCUCUUCGGUUUUCCAAGGAGCCCCUGUCUCCAGUCAUGGAGCUACAGAGACCAGGCCAGCAGUGGGCUGGGAGCCAGCACACUGAUCUUGAGCCAUGGCUGUCCCUGACCAGGCAGCUCUAUUGGAGAUAGAAAAAUAAUAGUUUUGAGCAGCUGAGGACCGUUGGCCCACUCUGUCCUUCUUCCUCCCUCUCCUAUGUCUUCUAGAGGAAAAUGCUAAUCGAAGGUGUCAAGGUGUCACCACAGUGUUUCCAAUAGAAGUGGAGGAUGAUGAAGACCAAAGGGAGGGAGCACACAGUGAGGAUACAUGAUGGGCAGAGCUGCAGGGGCUCCCCCAUGUCAUUUUGGGAAAUAAAUAUUCUGUAGGUAUAAGAUACUUUCUGUCCCAGGUGCUCUUCCCUCUUGGUGCCAGGUCCUCCCACAGGGUGGACUACAACACUACUGCUCACCCCUAGCCAAUCUUUGGCAGAAUGAGACUGCCAAUUCAGCUUUUUUUUUUUUUAAUAGGAGACACCUUGGUAUUUUCCGAGACCCCUUUAAAAAAAAUCUAUCUGUAUUUUUUUAAUCUCCAGAGGAGGGAGACUUGGCAGCACUUCCUGGAGGGAGGGAUGAGUUGGCUAGGCUGCUGCUGCACCUGUGUGUCUGCGGGACAGGGGACCCCUCCUGGGUCUGCAGCUGAGCCUGAGAUUAUCUCAGCCUUUUGAGUGUAUUUUAGACUCGAAGUUUUGGUGCUUGGUGAUGAAUAAUUGGGGUGAAGGGAAUCCCUUUGCUGUCCCCCCAAAUCGCACAAUCAUGUACUUCCAGUACACAAAGAGGGUCAGAAGCCACUAUCAUGGCUCCUGGUUCUCUGGAGUCCCCGGAGAAAGAGAAAUUUUUUUUUUCCUAUUAGUUUUGCGCUGCAGUGCUCUGGUAGAACAAAUCCGGAUUCCACGAAAAAUGUGGAGGGGGCGGGAGCAAACUGCCCAUGACGGAAGGCAGUGGCAACUUGAGGUCCACUGCUUGCUUUGAUUUGGUUUUGAAGCUUGUAAAAGAAAGGGAGAGAAGCAAGCAGUGAGACUCGGGGACAAGGAACGUCAUUGUGCUGUCAUUUGUGCUUUGUACGCGGGACAAGGAGAUCCCCGCGGGUUUCACCUCUGGAGCGGUUCACUGCUCAGCCUCCUUCAAGCCCUGAGAGUUUUCCAAGUCUUAUCCCCUGUCCUAUUUUAACAAGUACCUGGCAAUAAACGGGUGGGGCAGGACAAAGGUCUGGAAGCCGGAAAGCAGCGGAAAACCCUAAACCCCCGCAACAAGCAGAUAGCACAUCAGCUGGGCUUGUAGCGAGGAGUGCAGGGCUCCCAGCUCUGCCUAGCAGGUUGCUAGGAGCCCCGCAUCCAGAGUCCUUGGCUUGGCUCUGGGUUCUAGGGGCCCAGGUUAGGCGUCCACAGGCUUCCAGUCCUGGCCACGGAGCUAGAGAGAAAGGCACAGAGGCCCGGGAGACUUCUCUCCACGCGGGCAGAGUCUGCAAGCUCCUUUAGCCUAGUAAAUUGUUUUCCUUUCCUUAUACCCGCCCCGGUCGUGUUUCUUUUCAGGACAAGAGGGGAUAUAAACUGUUUGAAGUUCAUCAGCACGGUGAAGUUUUAUUGUAUUUCCGGUCCCUAAAAGAGAAGCCGGCAGCCAGGCAGACUCCCUCCUUAUCUCCGAGUUUCCACGCCAGGGACACACACGUGGCCAAGCGGACACUUGCCUUCGGGAGCAGGGAGGGAGAGAGCCCGCUCCGAUCGACUCUCCCUCACCGGCUCAGGUAAGUCUAAGAGGCCUCUGAUAGUUGUGGCAUCAACUGAGCCACAACCUGUGAGGAUGUGCGAAGUGACUUUGUAGGGAUGGAAGAGAGCGGGAGACAAGGAUGUACUCAGACUAGAGGAAGCAAACUUGUUCUCUGCCUUUCCCCAGCCAGGUCCUCAACGUCUCCACUUCUUUGUAAAUGUGGAAAAGAGUGGCCUACCUGGGGCUGUCCAGCAGCUGUGAAACCAGAGUCCUAUCGUAUGCCAGCAGAGUGACUGUUUCAGCCUUAUUGUUUGUGCCCUAGAAUUCACGGUGCCUUCUAACCCUGACUU